rnacentral:rRNA from 1 species
UACGAAGGGGGCUAGCGUUGCUCGGAAUUACUGGGCGUAAAGAGCGCGCAGGCGGUCGUAUAAGUCGAAUGUGAAAGCCCCUGGCUCAACUAGGGAGAGUCAUUCGAUACUGUUCGACUCGAAGGCAGGAGAGGGAAGUGGAAUUCCGGGUGUAGUGGUGAAAUGCGUAGAUAUCCGGAGGAACACCAGUGGCGAAGGCGACUUUCUGGCCUGUUCUUGACGCUGAGGCGCGAAAGCUAGGGGAGCAAACGGG